GCAUGCGCACUCCGGGACGCGCGCGAACACGCAGCAGCCAGAAUCUACAGGGGCGUGGUUUGCGCACGCGGGAACUGGGAUCUCAACCCCAGGGCUAGGUGCCUCCUCCCGUUGCUUUCCGCCAGCUGCGGGGUGUGAAAUUAAUCCCCGCCGAUUAGCGCCAGGUGUACUAAGCGCUGGAUGGUUCCCUGACCAGAUGAAACAUCAGCCGAUGUUCUAAUGCCCGUGCCCUGGGCGCUGUCCCCGAGGGGGAAAACCUGUUUUCUGACCCCGGCUCUAGUCGGCCUCUGGAGGUCUGCAGCUGGGUUAUUUUACCUCUGAAACGGACGACACCUGCCCCGCACACCCCAGCGGCUCCUCCACACGGAGAGAUGGUGUCAGUCAAAGGCCGUCUAGAUGACGAGUUUAUGAAAUUGUUCCUGGCCCGUGCCGGGCACGACCUUGCAGAGAGCCCAGAAGAUGAAACCCCAGCCCUGCCAGGAGCUCACCUGCUAAUUAGGAGGACAACGAAUCACCUCACCUCCCUAGACUUUGCUUCUCCUUUAUUCAGUGAGGGAUUGGACUAGCUGGUCCUUAAGGACUUUUCAGAAAGUCUGGUUCUGGGAGAUGACCAAUGGGAUCAUCUUAUGCUAUAAGCUUUCCUGGAAUGACAGGUAAUGGAGAGUGAGGAGAUUUUACCUGAUAUGGUCCUGUUUGCACCAUCAGCCAGCAACCUUUCUGGGAAGCAUGCUUAUUAUGUACCAACAUAGAAGCUUGAAUAUAAG
rnacentral:antisense_RNA from 1 species